UGGGGAAUCUUGGACAAUGGGGGCAACCCUGAUCCAGCGAUGCCGCGUGGGUGAAGAAGGCCUUCGGGUUGUAAAGCCCUUUAGGUUGGGAAGAAGGUGGUUGAGGGAUAAUCUCGAUCAUUUGACGGUACCAACAGAAUAAGCACCGGCAAACUCUGUGCCAGCAGCCGCGGUAAUACAGAGGGUGCAAGCGUUAAUCGGAGUUACUGGGCGUAAAGGGCGCGUAGGCGGUGAGAUGAGUGGAAUGUGAAAGCCCCGGGCUUAACCUGGGAAGCGCAUACCAAACGAUCUGACUGGAGUAUGGUAGAGGGUGGCGGAAUUUCCGGUGUAGCGGUGAAAUGCGUAGAGAUCGGAAGGAACGUCAAUGGCGAAGGCAGCCACCUGGACCAAUACUGACGCUGAGGCGCGAAAGCGUGGGUAGCGAACAGG
rnacentral:rRNA from 1 species